rnacentral:lncRNA from 1 species
AGAGCUAAAGGAGAAUGUGCUCUGAGGUUCCUGCCUUACUGAAGGCUAGUUCUGGCCGGGCUUUUGACUACUCGGUCUAUGUGGACAGCUACACAGCAUUCAAGGGCACUUCUACUUUUGGACCUCAGAGCAAAUGAGAAGGCGAAAGUUCGGACUUGAAGACCCGUCUGUACAGUUAGGCGAGCAAGGUCUCUGAGCUCCCUUACCCUCCC